rnacentral:rRNA from 1 species
UACAGAGGUCUCAAGCGUUGUUCGGAUUCAUUGGGCGUAAAGGGUGCGUAGGCGGCGCGGUAAGUCGGGGUGUGAAAUCUUGGAGCUUAACUCCGAAACUGCAUUCGAUACUGCCGUGCUUGAGGACUGGAGAGGAGACUGGAAUUUACGGUGUAGCGGUGAAAUGCGUAGAUAUCGUAAGGAAGACCAGUGGCGAAGGCGGGUCUCGUGGACAGUUCCUGACGCUGAGGCACGAAGGCCAGGGGGAGCAAACGGGG